CCUACGGGGGGCUGCAGUAGGGAAUCUUCGGCAAUGGACGAAAGUCUGACCGAGCAACGCCGCGUGAGUGAAGAAGGUUUUCGGAUCGUAAAACUCUGUUGUUAGAGAAGAAUAAGGAUGAGAGUAGAAUGUUCAUCCCUUGACGGUAUCUAACCAGAAAGCCACGGCUAACUACGUGCCAGCAGCCGCGGUAAUACGUAGGUGGCAAGCGUUGUCCGGAUUUAUUGGGCGUAAAGCGAGCGCAGGCGGUUUCUUAAGUCUGAUGUGAAAGCCCCCGGCUUAACCGGGGAGGGUCAUUGGAAACUGGGAGACUUGAGUGCAGAAGAGGAGAGUGGAAUUCCAUGUGUAGCGGUGAAAUGCGUAGAUAUAUGGAGGAACACCAGUGGCGAAGGCGACUCUCUGGUCUGUAACUGACGCUGAGGCUCGAAAGCGUGGGGAGCAAACAGGAUUAGAUACCCCUGUAGUC
rnacentral:rRNA from 1 species